CCUACGGGACGCAGCAGUGAGGAAUAUUGGUCAAUGGGCGCAAGCCUGAACCAGCCAAGUCGCGUGAGGGAUGACGGUCCUAUGGAUUGUAAACCUCUUUUGACGGGGAGCAAGGCCCGCCACGUGUGGCGGGAAGGAGAGUACCCGAAGAAAAAGCAUCGGCUAACUCCGUGCCAGCAGCCGCGGUAAUACGUAGGGUGCGAGCGUUAAUCGGAAUUACUGGGCGUAAAGGGUGUGCAGGCGGUUUUUCAAGAUGGGUGGUGAAGCCCCGGGCUUAACCUUGGAAA
rnacentral:rRNA from 1 species